AGACAUAAGUGGCUGAGAAUGAAAAGAACAGAGACCCUUGAUGAUUGGCUUGGUAGUGCAUGCAUUGUUGCGGGCUGUUGGCUGGGAAUGAACCUACGGGUUAGUAACAUAGAAGAACCUAAGAGUUCUCACUGUUUGGUACCCUCGGCUUGGAAAAGUAAAAGAAAAAGCGACAGCUUAUUGAGACAUAAGUGGCUGGGAAUGAAACGAAAAGAGACCCUUGGUGAUUGGCUUGGUAGUGCAUGCAUUGUUGCGGGCUGUUGGCUGGGAAUGAACCUACGGGUUAGUAACAUAAAAGAAUCUAAGAGUUCUCAAUGUUUGGUACCCUCGGCUUGGAAAAGUAAAAGAAAAAGCGACAGCUUAUUGAGACAUAUGUGGCUGGGAAUGAAACG
rnacentral:lncRNA from 1 species